GACGAACGCUGGCGGCGUGCUUAACACAUGCAAGUCGAGCGGAAAGGCCCUGCUUUUGUGGGGUGCUCGAGUGGCGAACGGGUGAGUAACACGCGAGUAACCUGCCCUUGACUUUGGGAUAACUUCAGGAGACUGGGGCGAAUACCGGAUAGGAGCUCCUGCUGCAUGGGGGGGGUUGGAAAGUUUCGGCGGUUGGGGAUGGACUCGCGGCUUAUGGGCUUGUUGGUGGGGUAGGGGCUUCCCAAGGCUUUGACGGGUAGCCGGCCUGAGAGGGUGACCGGCCACCUUGGGCCUACGAUACGGACCAGACUCCUACGGGCGGCAGUAGUGGGAAGCAUUGCACAGUGGGGGGGCGCCAGAUGCGGAGGCCCCCGGUGCGGGAUGCCGGCCUUCGGGUGGUAAACCGCUUUCGCCGGAACCAAACCGUGAGUGACGGUAAUGGGUAAAGAAGCACCGGCUAACUACGUG
rnacentral:rRNA from 1 species